UGGAGUGAUGAUUUUAUAGACUAGAGUCUCUGAGAAAAAACAUGAAGUUGUUUUCACAGUGCACUGACCA
ensembl:snoRNA small nucleolar RNA SNORD52